UACGUAGGGUGCGAGCGUUAAUCGGAAUUACUGGGCGUAAAGCGUGCGCAGGCGGUUUUGUAAGCCAGAUGUGAAAUCCCCGGGCUUAACCUGGGAAUGGCAUUUGGGACUGCAAGGCUAGAGUGUGGCAGAGGAGACUGGAACUCCUGGUGUAGCAGUGAAAUGCGUAGAUAUCAGGAGGAAUACCGAUGGCGAAGGCAGGUCUCUGGGCUAACACUGACGCUCAUGCACGAAAGCGUGGGGAGCAAACAGG
rnacentral:rRNA from 1 species